rnacentral:rRNA from 1 species
AACGAACGCUGGCGGCAUGCCUAACACAUGCAAGUCGAACGAGACCUUCGGGUCUAGUGGCGCACGGGUGCGUAACGCGUGGGAACCUUCCCUUAUGUUCGGAAUAACUCCCCGAAAGGGGUGCUAAUACCGGAUAAUGUCUUCGGACCAAUGAUUUAUCGCCUUUGGAUGGUCCCGCGUUGGAUUAGCUAGUUGGUAGGGUAAAAGCCUACCAAGGCGACGAUCCAUAGCUGGUCUGAGAGGAUGAUCAGCCACACUGGGACUGAGACACGGCCCAGACUCCUACGGGAGGCAGCAGUGGGGAAUAUUGGAAAAUGGGCGAAAGCCUGAUCCAGCAAUGCCGCGUGAGUGAUGAAGGCCUGAGGGUUGUAAAGCGCUUUUACCCGGGAUGAUAAUGACAGUACCGGGAGAAUAAGCUACGGCUAACUCCGUG